rnacentral:tRNA from 1 species
GCCUGGGUGGCUCAGUGGGUUGAGCAUCUGACUUCGGCUCAGGUCAUGAUCUCACAGUUCGUGAGUUCGAGCCCCGCGUCAGGCU